AGGGAAAAAACGACCUCUCACACUAAGUUCCGAAACAGAGAUUCUGGGUUACUAGCAAGUGACGGCGUGAGCCCAGGAGGAGCUGGAGAGAGUGGCAAGCUUGAGUGACAGCCCCAUGCCUGCCCGCUGUACCAAGCCCAGUGUACAAUACCUUGCUCUUCUAAGAUCCCGUUAGGCAUUUUCUUGUCGUUGCUGCUGACCACGGCCUUCCUCUGCUUCCGGAACCUUAAAGGCACACACAAGAUGUGUUAGGUCUCAGCACCGCGGGAACCCCCAAGCCCUGAGUGUGGUGAUACCCACCAGGUGAGCCGGGAAAAGUUCUUUCUGCUGCUCAUGGCUGAGCUGUGUGGCAGCUCAGGCCUGGCCAGCCGCUGUCUGAGCUGUUUGGGCCCACACCCCCAGCCUCCAGCACACUCAUUUCCUCAUAGGAGCUGGUGAGAGCACGUCAGCGCCUGGGGACACUCCUACCUGAAGAAGUAGGCUGCAAGCAGGAAUAGGAGGAGAAGCAGAGGCAGCAGCAGCCAGGGUGCCCUCCUAUCACCACAAAGCUCCCAGCCAAAAGGCCCCAUCAAAAGCCUGCUUCUCCAGUGAAUGAGUGUGGCUCCUGUGAACUGGUCCAGAGGAGCUAUGAUCUGCAGCUGGUGAGCACAUGCUAUCAGGAGUGAGCCGGUCUCCCAUGGGAGGCCCUGGAGAUGUCCCCAGUGACUCAUCUGCUGUGUCAGAAGGACCCAGGCAGAAGAGCAUGGGCCAGCCCGGUUAAGUUCUUUCCAGACCCCAUGGAACUCUGCAACAAUCUGCAACAGACAGUACCCCUCCAACGAGGGACACUCUACAUGUCUAGAGGGUCCCCAGCAAGGAGGCGGAGGAGUAAAGGAGGAAGAGGAAGAGGAAGAGAAAAGGCAGGAAGCACAGUGAGCAAUUGUGCUCUGGGAAGAGACGACAGUCCCUGGAGGACUGCUCUGGAGGACUUUCUGGGAUCUGGUCCAUAAAGCUUCUUGGGCCCGAGGCGUACGAUAAACAUUCCAAGUAGCCCAGUCAGAGCAAACACACAUAGGUGGGCUGUUUUGUUUCCCUAGCAUGAAGUUGUGAGUGUAACUUUCCCUGCCUUUUCUUCUGUGACGCAAAACUCAUGCACACAUAGGUUUCGUAAAUAAAUUAGACUCACUAAUCUCUCCUGGGAUCCAAGAUUGCAUGACUGAAGGAAGUACUGUUAUUUUACAAAUUAUUAGGGAAGGAAAACAGAUGAACUGAUUAUAAAGAAUAAUCUGCUUGACGAUAUAUCCCAACACAAAUGCUAUGUAUGAAGCGACUGGGUGGAACACACACCUCUCUCAUUGCUCCUGGAGAGCUGCCACACUAGGUGAGCCUCUUCAUCCUGUGUCCUGGCUGCUUGCCGUCCUACAUUUUGGACUGGCCCACAUUGUAUGGGUAUUUGAGGCUAUUUCCCACUUUGCUGUUCCCAGUACUUCUACAUUUAAAAAAAAAAGUGAUAUUCC
ensembl:lincRNA 5830432E09Rik RIKEN cDNA 5830432E09 gene